AUUGAACGCUGGCGGCAGGCCUAACACAUGCAAGUCGAGCGAGCGGCGGACGGGUGAGUAAUGUCUGGGGAACUGCCCGAUAGAGGGGGAUAACUACUGGAAACGGUGGCUAAUACCGCAUACCAUCGGAUGUACCCAUAUGGGAUUCGCUAGUAGGUGGGGUAAAGGCUCACCUAGGCGACGAUCCCUAGCUGGUCUGAGAGGAUGAUCAGCCACACUGGAACUGAGACACGGGCCAGACUCCUACGGGAGGCAGCAGUGGGGAAUAUUGCACAAUGGGCGCAAGCCUGAUGCAGCCAUGCCGCGUGUAUGAAGAAGGCCUUAGGGUUGUAAAGUACUUUCAGCGGGGAGGCGUUACCCGCAGAAGAAGCACCGGCUAACUCCGUGCCAGCAGCCGCGGUAAUAC
rnacentral:rRNA from 1 species